UAUUCAUGCCCUUAAUCUGUUCUCUCAACCUGUCCCAAUUCCCCAUUCUUCAAGCCCCAGCUGAAGCUCCUGUAUGGCUCCCUCCUUCUGAACCAAUGCCAAGUCAUCUUCAUCUCAGAACUUCUACAGAACAUUUCUUUAAAACCAGUAGCUGAUCCACAGUAGGGCCCUGAGCACCACGAGACAAACAUGCAUUGUGUGUUGAGUGUAUGUGCACAUUGACUCACGUUGAUUAUGUUCUACCAUUUUUCAAAUACAUCUAGGUGCAUUUAUGGAAGGCAGUAAAGGUCCCAGGGAAGAACGCAGGCUCUGGGUGAUGCAGCUUGAGUACCACUGCACUAUAAUUCUGCCCUCAUAAGUGAGCCUUCAGAAUGAGUUCCUGGAGGUGAAAGGUCUGCGUUUAAAGCCAGACUCCACAGAGGUGAGGUGAUCUUCCUUGGAGGAAAGGUUACUGGGCCUGCUGAUGCGAUUCCUUUUCCAUCCCAUAAGUGACAAAAAUCAAGGCCCAUCAGUUGAGGAUGAAAAUGGAAAUUUACUUUCUGAGAAUCCUGCUGGGUACCUUACAUAGAGCUUGAGGCAUUCAGCAUCAGUUUGCAGCCUUUUUGUAUGGUCAGAACUUCUAAAAGAAAUUUGCUAUAGUUAAUGAGACUGAGACAGAAAAAUAGACCAUGGAUGGUUAGCCAAGAUCAACAGUGGUUUCUCCUCCUGACCUCUUCCUGUUUGCACAUGCUAAAUGUAGGCAAAUAUCUCAGUACACAGUCCACUAUUAUAGUGUAUAGGCUUUGGGGUUAGAAGAUCAAAUCCUAACUUUGCCACUGAGAUUAUAUGAGCAUA